AUGCCGUUUUGGAAACGGAAGUGGAUGUGACGUCAUCCACAAGCGGCCUCUGAAGGGAGAGCGGGGAAUGUUGUGCUGUGUCUGUGGAGCUCUGGAACAAACUUCAGAGCCUCUUCCCAACUACCAGUGUUUUUCAGACAUAACAAAAUACGCAUCAUCUGAUCUAAGAAGCCGGAAAUCCCGCCCCCUCUUCCCGGCGCUUCCGGAUGACGUCCCGACACAAGGGGAAAGCCUUCUGGUCUGAAAAACAGCGCGGUCGGGAAGAAAGCUGGUAGCUGGCCUUGAGGCCAUGCUCACGGCCUCUUAACAGGGUGUGCUUGCAGCUGGUUUUAGUCUAUUACACAACUAUUUAAAAAAUUU